GGGACAGCCAGAUGGUCUGCAUUGAUCGUUGGUAUUAUCUACGGAAAGCGCAGAUAUGAUAAUCUGAAACCAAUUGCAGAGGAGGAGAGGAGAAUAGAAGAGGAGGAGAAGAAGGUACGAGAGGAGAAGGAACGCAUUGCUAAACAGCUAGCAGAAGCUAAUGAGGACACAAUCUUGAAGUGAGCUGCCCAAAAUGACGCCUGUAUCGUUUCCGUUGUAAAGAUCGUGUUACCUGUCUGGAUAAAGAAUAAUGCUUGUAUUCUGCCACUUUGGUUUUACAGUGCCCUUUGUUUUCUAAACACUGUUUUCUAAUAGAUCAUGUCAGAUUAAUGCCUCAUUUUGUGAAAUAAUAACUGAAUACAUGCAAAUAUAUGUGUAUACAUUUCCUCUGAUCUGACACUGUUUCUUCUUUCAUUGAAGAACCUCUGAUUAUAAUGUAAAGCAUGCAAUGUAAUGUUAAAUAUACACUGAAUCAGAGUUCCACUUUGGUAAACAUCCACACCAAUAUUUAUUAAUAAACUGUUAAUCCUGAUUUCUUUUGUCAUUUUGAUAUUUAAAAAUCAUUUGAAUGUCCAGGUAGUUCAAAGUCUUGACAGCUGCAUUAAAUAUUACAUUUUUACGGAAAUACUGUAAAUAAAACAGAGUUGUUGUCCAAAAAUUCAUCAUCCAGUCCAUUCAAUCUAUUUUUACCUCCAGUAUAUCCAUGGAUGGUCUUGUAUGCAUGUUGAAUACAAUUAUGGCAAACAUAGGCUGCGUAGACUUAAAACAGUUGUGUUUUCAAGGUAAAUUAUUGCGGCAUCAGAUAAACAGUCCGAAAUUACAUAUA